AAACGCAACGUUUAGUGCCUUGUAUGACUCUUCAGCUUCCACAAACUCAAAUCGAGCCCAAUCUCUUCCUUCUCAUCAUUUUCGAACCACAGACGUUGGGCGCCGCCGUGCCAUCGUCUCCGGCGGCGGAACAAGGAAACAAUACCACCAAUUCCUCCGUAAUAUCCCCCUCUCUCCAAGUCCCUUACCAAUUUCACACGAAACCUCUUCAAUCGUACGGAUCGAAGAAUCGAAGGGAGAAAAUCCUAAGUCCCCGAAAAUGCUAAUUCAAGUGAUAACUGCAAGAAUUCAUGAUAUUCGACGUGCACCGAGUGAUAUAUCGAAAAGGAGCAAGCACCGAAAGUAUUAA